GAGUUUGAUCCUGGUUCAGGACGAACGCUGGCGGCGUGCCUAAUACAUGCAAGUCGAGCGAGCCGAACUAAUUGAUUACCUUCGGGUAUGAAGUUAGGGAAGCGAGCGGCGGAUGGGUGAGUAACACGUGGGUAACCUACCCUAUAGUCUGGGAUACCACUUGGAAACAGGUGCUAAUACCGGAUAAAAGGGGAGAUCACAUGAUUUCUUUUUGAAAGGCGGCGUAAGCUGUCGCUAAAGGAUGGACCCGCGGUGCAUUAGCUAGUUGGUAAGGUAACGGCUUACCAAGGCAACGAUGCAUAGCCGAGUUGAGAGACUGAUCGGCCACAUUGGGACUGAGACACGGCCCAAACUCCUACGGGAGGCAGCAGUAGGGAAUCUUCCACAAUGGACGCAAGUCUGAUGGAGCAACGCCGCGUGAGUGAAGAAGGUUUUCGGAUCGUAAAGCUCUGUUGUUGGUGAAGAAAGAUAGUGAGAGUAACUGCUCAUUAUUUGCCGGUAAUCAACCAGAAAGUCACGGCUAACUACGUGCCAGCAGCCGCGGUAAUACGUAGGUGGCAAGCGUUGUCCGGAUUUAUUGGGCGUAAAGCGAGCGCAGGCGGAAAGAUAAGUCAGAUGUGAAAGCCCUCGGCUUA
rnacentral:rRNA from 1 species